rnacentral:rRNA from 1 species
CACGUAGGGGGCAAGCGUUGUCCGGAAUCACUGGGCGUAAAGGGCGCGUAGGCGGCCUGAUAAGUAGGGGGUGAAAUCCUGUGGCUUAACUGCAGGGCUGCCUCCUAGACUGUUAGGCUCGAGCACGGUAGAGGCAGAUGGAAUUCCCGGUGUAGCGGUGGAAUGCGUAGAGAUCGGGAAGAACAUCGGUGGCGAAGGCGGUCUGCUGGGCCGUUGCUGACGCUGAGGCGCGAUCAGCGUGGGGAGCAAACAGG